GCCUAGUUAGCUUAGUUGGUAGUGCGUCUGCCUUGUAAGCGCUAAACCGCGGGUUCGAUUCCCACCCGGGGCG
rnacentral:tRNA from 1 species